CAUUAUUAAAGAGUAACUAAACCCUAAACCAACUUUUUUAAGUUAAUGAUCUGUAAGAAUGAUCCUUUAUUAGUGCUGUUCAUUGAUUUUAGUAAGUUUUUUGACAUUAAGAUAUAAAGUGUUUCAAUACUGCAAUAUAUGGUGUAAAAACGUCUAAGUGCUGCCCUCUUCAGGUUGAACGGUGGCUACUGCAGUUGAAUUUUCCUAUUGGAUGUUGGGUCCAAAAAAUGACUCGUGACGUAAGCAGGUUCAAGCUCACCACGCCCUUGUUACGAUCUCACCACACACUUGGUACCAGCUUAGUUCGUCCCCUCUAUCUCCAUUGGGAUCUGCCCACUUUUCUUGCAUUUUUCAAAUAUUGCCAGUGGGUGGAGUCAGGCUUUGACCAGGGGUUUAGUUACGCUUUAAUGACUGUUAACUGAGUUUUGAGUUCACUUGUGCUUAAUCACAAAGCAGAUACAGAGAUGAAGAUCAGACUGGAGAUAAAGUGAUGAUAAAAUUAAAAGUGACAUAGAAUGAUUGAACAGAGUAUUUAUCCUUUUUCUGUGAUGUGACAUGUAGACAAAAAAAUUUGUUUGGGUCUGUAAUGCCUUAGAAGCUUCCUAAAAACCUCUCUCAGAUAGCUCUAUUAGGGUGGGGGAUUUUAAACAAGUGGUUUUGCACCUAUUUGGCUCCCCCUACUGGCUUAACUUGCAAUCUCAUUACUGAUUGGCUGACUUUGCUGCCACUCAAAAAAUUUAGCCAAUUAUUUUAAAGUGGAUGGGCAGUUAGAUGCCUGUGAUGUCAUAAGUAUCCGUUUUUCAGAUUGGGCCAUUUUCUGGCUGACAUUUCUAAAAGAGGAAUUUCUAUGAGACUGAGAUGUUUAGCAUGUUUAGCACUUUUUGUAUGUUUGUGAAUGUGGGUAGACUACCAUUAUUCAACAAAGACAAGGAAAAAUGUUUUUUCAUUCUCUGUCCCCUUUAAAAUAUAUCUCUUUCUGCUGAAACACAUGUUCCUAUAAUACAAGAAAGAGCUUUGCUUCAUUAGAUAAAUGGAUGAACAGGCAGAUAGAUUCACUUUUCUGUUAUUUUUAUUUCUAUAUUGCAGAUCACCAUAAAGAGGAGACCUCUUCUGUAUAUAAUCAACUUAAUUUUUCCAGUAUUUUGUUUCCUUGUGCUGGAUGUGGCAUCCUUUUUCAUAAAUGCAUCUGCAGGAGACAAGUUGAGUUUUAAAGUGACUUUACUGCUGUCCCUUUCCGUGUUACUGCAGAUUCUUAAUGACAGACUGGCAUCUACUGUCAGUAAAAUCCCAUUAAUUGGGAUUUACUGCUGUUCAAUUUUUGUACUUAUUGCCUUAAGCAUUCUGGAGACCAUCUUUGUGAAUAUUCUGAUUGUUAAAGGGAAAGAGACCGAAUCAGCAAUAUCAAUGGAAACCACAGGUGUUGUAAGUGGUCAAGAUGGACACAGCACCGACAGUUUCGCCUUGCGUGGUGUAAGAGACCAUAUGGACACAGAUACCAGUGGAAAUGAAGACUCAACAUGUACCAGUGACACUGGAAAGAGGGCCUCACUGUGCUGGACCAGAGCAGCAAAAAUAAUAGAUGUGACCUAUUUUUUUCUUUACAUAAUCACUGUUAUUGUGCUUCUGUCCAUUCUUGGCAAACGUUGGUUUCUGUAAUAACUCUUACAUAUGAGAUGGCAUGCAAUACUAACUUUUAUUUGCAUGAUUUUGUUUUCAUGUUGUUUGUGGUGAGUUUAAAACGUUUUUAAGUUUUUUUUCUGCUGUCAAUUAUUGUUUUUCUCUUGUAAACAACAGGAAUGCAGUUUAAUGUUUAAGAGAAUUUGUCCUUUUCUUUGGCAUAUAGUAGUAUCCAGUAAAGCAUUUGGUGUUGUUUAUUUAGUUUUAGACAAUACAAAAUCAUAUUUAUUCUUUUGUGUUUGUGGUGGUGAAAUUGGACAUUUAUUAAAAUGUAUGUUAUAUUAUUACAAUCAGCUUUAAAAUUAUCUGUAUAAUGUCAUGCAUUCUGUAUGUCAUAAUUUUCAUGUUUUAAUUAUUUUUCUCCCUGUUUCAUAUUUUUCUUCUGUCUCUAGUGUUUUUUCUGCAAUGUAUUUUAGCAUUUUCAAAUGGCUGAUGACAAAUUUAAGAUCAGAAAAAUGUAGGGGUAAGAUUAAACAUCAAAAGCAAAGAAAACCAAAGAUAGGUUUUUAAAAAGGAUUUAAAAAUUGACAAGGACAGAGCCAGUCUGAUCUCCAAGGACCAGGCACUGCAAAAGCAUUUUCACCUCUACGUUUUAGUUUGCUGUGAUGGAUCCUAUCUUAGAUCCUCACGUGCAGAACGUUUUUAUUAUUGUGUUUUGUUAAUUCCAAAUCAUUUAUUUACAUAAUCAUCAUAAUCACUUUAUAAUCAUUAGUUAUCCAUAUAAUUGUUUAUUUGAUUAUUCCAUAUUAUUUUUAUUAUUAUCAAUUUCAUUAUUAUAAUUUUAUCAUUAUAUUAUUGUUUAUUCAUGUAUUCAUUCAUUCAUUAUAUUUCUAUGUUUUAUAUAUAUUAUUAUAUUCAUUAUUGUCUCACAUUUAUGAAGUUUCAUGAGCUGUCCUGUCUGUGUAAACAGAGAUAGAUAAAGAGAAUGUUUAUGGAAGUUCAAGGUUUAUGGGAUGUUGCUAUUAAGCAGUUUUGGUAUAACAAGGCAUGUUGAAUUCAUGCUGGUAGGACAAAGUUUGAACAUUAAAACAUAUGCAACUGAAACUGUCCAUCAAUAAAACUCUGUUCCUAUUUUAUCAUCAUAAAUGUAGUCUCGUGUCCUGCUUGUGUUAUUUUCUAGCUUUGAUCGAUCA